GGGGAUUUGGCUCAGUGGUAGAGCGCUUGCCUAGCAAGCACAAGGCCCUGGGUUCGGUCCCCAGCUCA
rfam:Rattus norvegicus chromosome 10, whole genome shotgun sequence.